rnacentral:lncRNA from 1 species
CACACACACACACACACACACACUCACGCGCGCGCGCAAAAAAACAAGUUGCAGGUCGCCUCUGCCGGAGGGGGCCAGGCGGGUCACUCACCCUCAUCCUGCUCAGUGGGCUCUGGUCGUCGGGCCGCGAGGACAGGGAAGACCAGAGGACCACGAGCCCCAGGAAGCUUCCCACCACCAGCAAACUGCGUUCACAGAAGACUCGGGCCUCAGCAGAAUGAUUAAAUGAUUCCAAAGUCUUCACCACUGAGCUUUGUCAAUGGUGAAUGUCUCUAAAUCCGAUUACAUAUAAACACCUUCAUCAGCAAGCAGACAGGUGUAUGUCUGUGCGCCAAUGACAUGUUUGGGACCCACAGAAGCUGGAAAAGGGUGCUGGAUCUCCUGGAGCCUGAGUUACACAUGGCUUGUGAGCCACCAUGUGGGUGAUGGGAAUUGAACCCAGGUCCUCUAGAAAAGCAGCCAAUACACUUAAUUAACCACGGAGUCAUCUCUCCAGCAUCUGCUAACCCAAGUAAUUUCUUUUAAAGAAAGACAAUGGAGUAGUUCAAAAGAGCUCUUUAUAUUGCUCAAAAUUACCCGCGAAAGAGCACUGUGCACAGUAAAUACCGAAUGCAUAUGCACUGCUUUAAUCAAUGUGCUGUAGACUAGAGCAAUCAAGUCGAAAAACAAAAGCAUUAUGGAACCGUGCUUUCCCUAGUGACGCUGUCUAAAAGGCCGUAACUGGCAAACGAAAGGACCACACUUCAGUCCUAACUCUCAAAGCACACAGUAAAUGUGGCAGAGAUGCUGGUGAAGUCGUUGAGGCAGUACUUCCUGAGCAUUUCCCAUUUGGAACUGUUCAUAGUAUUUUCAGUCAUGUUUGAGGUUGUGAUAGAGUAUUGUUUUAAUAUUUUUACCUCAAUAGCCCAACUUUGUACUAACUUAGAUUUAGCUCUGUGCUAAACGGAAAUACUAUCAUUACUUUCUACAUAUAUUAAAAUUAAUGUAUAUAGUUGUAAUUAAAGAUAUUUAUGUCUGAGGGUUCUUAAGAAUUAUGUAUUACCCCCAACUUCACCAUGGCUUGGGAGUAACUAAUAUAUAACAUUGUAUUUUUUUUGUUUAAUGUCAACUUCAGUUAAAGCCUGCAUGGUUUAGGGAUUACAAAUGAUAUCUGGUUUGGCAUCUAGGUUUUUGUUUGUUCUCUGUUUCUUUAUUUGGAGAUGUUUGGGGUUAAAUGCAAAUCUUUGUGGAUGCAAGUCUUCUAUCUUUGAGCUAUGCCUCCUGCCCACUGUCAUCUGGUUUUAUGACUUAUGGUCUAAUUUUGUAUAUUUGUCUCUUUAUGGAAAUUCCAAGCAUGAAUAUUUUCAUAGAUCUCAUACAAGUGGCCUGCCUUUUUCUUAAACAACACUCUCCCCCAACCACCCACAUACAGUAGAAGUCCACUAAUAAAAUAUAGGAUAUUUCUAA